GGUUCCGUCCUCAAUCACAUCUAAGCUCGAGCACGGGUUCGACCUCAACGAGCAAUCUAUCACUAUGGUCGUCGGAUUUGCCGAGUUCUCCGACCUUCAGCAUUACGCGAACCAGAAACAGAGAGCUGCAACUGGACGCGACAAUCAUUUUUAUCCGACCCAAAAUGCGAGGCCGAUCUCAGACAUGGCUCCGUCCUCGAUCAUAUCUAAGCUCGAGCAUAGAUCCGACCUCAACGAGUAAUCUAAUGUUGGGGUCGUUGGAUAUGUCGAGCUCCUUUCAGUUCUGCUACUCCGACCAGCGAAACCAUUGACGGUCUUAUUAGCGGUGUUUGAUCAGUCGUUCUUUCGACAGUCAAACGGACUAAGGCCGACCAUGCCAACCUGGGUAUCNNN
rnacentral:lncRNA from 1 species